GACACGAUGGCCGAAUGGUUAAGGCGACAGGCUGCAUUACCUCCGGUCAUUGAAAGGAAUUUGAGUCUUGUUCAUGCAGGUUCAAUCUCUGCUCGUGUCG